rnacentral:lncRNA from 1 species
CCUGCAGCCCGAGUUCCGCACCUUUGCCGUCGACCCCCAGAUCACCUCGCUGGAUGUCCUACAGCACAUCCUCAUCCGCGCCUUCGACCUCAACGGGAAGAAGAACUUUGGGAUCAGCUACCUGGGCCAGGAGAAGCAGGGUCAGGAGACAUACCUGUCGCUGCUGUCGGACUGGGACCUGGCCACGGCCUUCGCCAGCGCCUCCAAGCCUUACCUGCAGCUCCUCGUGGAUAUCAAGCCUUCGGAAGACAGUGAGUCACUGUGGCAGGGCUAGGGACCCAGGAGUCCUGGCUGCCACCCCCUCCUCGUGCUCUAACCGCCAGACCCCACUGCCCUCCCAGAGCCGGGAACAGAACCUGCUAACUGUCAUGUGCUGCUCUCUCAGGCCCCCUGCUGGAGGACUGGGACAUCAUCAGCCCCAAAGAUGUCAUCAGCACUGA